rnacentral:rRNA from 1 species
GGUGAACGCUGGCGGCGUGCCUAAUACAUGCAAGUCGAGCGAACAGACGAGGAGCUUGCUCCUCUGACGUUAGCGGCGGACGGGUGAGUAACACGUGGAUAACCUACCUAUAAGACUGGGAUAACUUCGGGAAACCGGAGCUAAUACCGGAUAAUAUAUUGAACCGCAUGGUUCAAUAGUGAAAGACGGUUUUGCUGUCACUUAUAGAUGGAUCCGCGCCGCAUUAGCUAGUUGGUAAGGUAACGGCUUACCAAGGCGACGAUGCGUAGCCGACCUGAGAGGGUGAUCGGCCACACUGGAACUGAGACACGGUCCAGACUCCUACGGGAGGCAGCAGUAGGGAAUCUUCCGCAAUGGGCGAAAGCCUGACGGAGCAACGCCGCGUGAGUGAUGAAGGUCUUCGGAUCGUAAAACUCUGUUAUUAGGGAAGAACAAAUGUGUAAGUAACUAUGCACGUCCUGACGGUACCUAAUCAGAAAGCCACGGCUAACUACGUG